rnacentral:rRNA from 1 species
UACGUAGGGCGCAAGCGUUGUCCGGAAUUAUUGGGCGUAAAGAGCUCGUAGGUGGCGUGUCGCGUCUGCCGUGAAAGCCCAUGGCUUAACUGUGGGUCUGCGGUGGAUACGGGCAGGCUGGAGGCUGGUAGGGGCAAGCGGAAUUCCUGGUGUAGCGGUGAAAUGCGUAGAUAUCGAGAGGAACACCUGCGGCGAAGGCGGGUUGCUGGGCUGAUACUGACGCUGAGGCGCGAAAGCCAGGGGAGCGAACGGG